UACGGAGGGUGCAAGCGUUAUCCGGAUUCACUGGGUUUAAAGGGUGCGUAGGAGGGCAGGUAAGUCAGUGGUGAAAUCUCCAAGCUUAACUUGGAAACUGCCGUUGAUACUAUCUGUCUUGAAUACCGUGGAGGUGAGCGGAAUAUGUCAUGUAGCGGUGAAAUGCUUAGAUAUGACAUAGAACACCAAUUGCGAAGGCAGCUUACUACACAACGAUUGACGCUGAGGCACGAAAGCGUGGGGAUCAAACAGG
rnacentral:rRNA from 1 species